rnacentral:tRNA from 1 species
GCCCCCGUAGCUCAGCAGGAAGAGCGUACCGCUUGCGAACGGUGAGGCCGCGGGUUCGAGUCCCGCCGGGGGCG